AUUGAACGCUGGCGGCAGGCCUAACACAUGCAAGUCGAACGAGUGGCGGACGGGUGAGUUAUGUCUGGGAAACUGCCCGAUGGAGGGGGAUAACUACUGGAAAGGGUAGCUAAUCCCGCAUACUAUCGGGUGUGCCCAGAUGGGAUUAGCUUGUAGGUGGGGUAACGGCUCAUCUAGGCGACGAUCCCUAGCUGGUCUGAGAGGAUGACCAGCCACACGGGAACUGAGACACGGUCCAGACUCCUACGGGAGGCAGCAGUGGGGAAUAUUGCACAAUGGGCGCAAGCCUGAUGCAGCCAUGCCGCGUGUAUGAAGAAGGCCUUCGGGUUGUAAAGUACUUUCAGCGAGGAGGCGUUACUCGCAGAAGAAGCACCGGCUAACUCCGUGCCAGCAGCCGCGGUAAUAC
rnacentral:rRNA from 1 species